CUCUGUAGGAUCCUGUUUGUUUAAGUACUAGAUUUUUCGAGUAACCGGCUCAAUGGAGACCUCCCAGCCUGCUGGUGGAACCUGCAGGUUCUCGAGUUCAUGGACUUGUCCAACAACUCUUUCUCAGGUGAAAUCCCUGCGGCUAAGGAAAGCCACAUCUGCUCUCUCAAAUCACUAUAUUUCGCCAAAAAUGGCUUCUCCGAUGUCUUCCCCAAGGUCCUAAAAGGAUGCAACUCACUAGCCACCGUAGACAUCAGCAACAAUAUGUUCUUUGGUGCUCUCCCUCCAUGGAUAGGGAGCUGGAUUCCAUCAUUACGAAUCCUUAGCCUCAGAUCAAACAACUUCACUGGAGAAAUUCCAGCUGAAUUAUCACGUCUUUCGCAACUUCAACUACUCGACAUGGCAAGCAAUAGCUUCACCGGAUUGAUUCCAUUAGAUUUCGGCAACCUGGCGUCCAUGAGGCAUCCAUCAAAUACGCCGACAGAUAGGAUUGUUAUAAUCUGGAAGGGCCAAGAUAGGAUCCGCAUAACCUAGAAGGGCCAAGAGCUAAUUUUCCAAAGAACACUCAGUUUACUAACGGGUAUUGAUUUGUCGGACAAUUUGCUGUCCCGGUGCAUCCCUGAAAAGCUAAACAGCCUUCAGGGCCUUCGCUUUCUAAACCUAACAAGAAACCAUCUGUCAUGCGGCAUUCCCGAAGAUAUUGGUAGUUUGAAAUUUCUUGAGAUCUUAGAUCUAUAACCUAAUGAACUUUCUAGAGCCAUUCCUUCGAGCAUCACGAGCAUAUCUGGGCUCAGCGCGUUAAAUGUCUCAAACAAUUUUCUGUCAGGCAAGAUACCGGUUGGGAGACAGAUUCAGACCCUAACAAACCCAUUGAUUUACUCCAACAACUCUGGGCUUUGUGGGCUUCCUCUGGACACUCCAUGUGCAGAUACUUCAAUUGUAUUGGAUGAGACAGAUGGUGAAGGGGAGGACCAGUGGAUGUACUAUUUUGUGAUUGAUGGGAUUGUGUUUGGUUCCUGGAUAUGGUUUGGGAUGCUCUUUACAAUUGAUACCUGGAGAUGUGCUUUUCUCUUCUUUGUCGAUGGCAUGCAAUGUAAGAUGAUGAAGAAGGUGUGACAUUAG
rnacentral:rRNA from 1 species